UUUUAUUUCUCCUAGAAAAGUUUCUUGCAUAAAUUUAUAAGGGGGGCCAAGCCAGUGUUCUUUUUUGUCUUUCGAAAUAAGGGUGUGUUUGUUAAUGGGGAUAAAAGGGUGAAAACUGUAAUCGGUUAACUUUUCACCCUUUUAUCCCUUGUUUGGUUGAGAGGAAAGGGUGGAGAGAGUUGAGUUAACAACAUUCCGAAUUUCCAAAAACCCAAAAGGAGCAAAGCUAACACUCUUGGGAGCGGGUUGCAAAUUCAGGGGAACCAUAAAAGGCUUUUAUGAGUCUCUCCACUUUUUAGCUUUCUUUUAAUUUCAUGGGAAAGAUUACGACUGCAACUAAUCGAGUCGCUGCCUCGAUUACUAGACUCGGCAAGAGCUUUUCUUUUUUAUCUAUUAGUAAAUUAUUUUUAAAAAUAAUGAGGAGUCUUAUUUAAUAAAUUAGCUAAAUCCGACUAAAGGUAUGUUCAGCUUAUUUAAGCUCCACAAAUUAAUUGCUUAGACUCUACCAUUAGCAUAUCAUAUGU
rnacentral:lncRNA from 1 species